rnacentral:rRNA from 1 species
GGGCCCGCACAAGCGGAGGAACAUGUGGUUUAAUUCGAUGAUACGCGAGGAACCUUACCCGGGCUCGAACGGUGUUUGAAUAAGUGUGAAAGCAUUUAGCCAGCAAUGGCAGACAUCGAGGUGCUGCAUGGUUGUCGUCAGCUCGUGCCGUGAGGUGUCGGCUUAAGUGCCAUAACGAGCGCAACCCUUAUCUUUAGUUACCAUCAGGUUAAGCUGGGGACUCUAGAGAGACUGCCACCGUAAGGUGAGAGGAAGGUGGGGAUGACGUCAAAUCAGCACGGCCCUUACGUCCGGGGCGACACACGUGUUACAAUGGGGGGGACAAAGGGGUCGCUACUUGGCAACAAGAUGCUAAUCUCUAAACCCUCUCCCAGUUCGGAUCGGAGUCUGCAACUCGACUCCGUGAAGCUGGAUUCGCUAGUAAUCGCGCAUCAGCCAUGGCGCGGUGAAUACG